rnacentral:rRNA from 1 species
UACAGAGGUCUCAAGCGUUGUUCGGAUUCAUUGGGCGUAAAGGGUGCGUAGGCGGCUUUGCAAGUCGGGUGUGAAAUCCCCAGGCUUAACCUGGGAACUGCAUUCGAGACUGCAUUGCUAGAGUAUGGGAGAGGGAAGUGGAAUUUCCGGUGUAGCGGUGAAAUGCGUAGAUAUCGGAAGGAACAUCAGUGGCGAAAGCGGUUCUCUGGGACGGUACUGACGCUGAGACGCGAAAGCGUGGGGAGCGAACAGG